AGCAAUUUCUUCUUUCCUGCCUGCUGAAGACUGACUUCCUCCUGCUGCCAAAGGUUUGCAGUGCUUAUUUAAGUUCUAGAGUCUGGACGUCUGAGAUCAGGGUGCCAGCACUGUCGAGGUCACAGACUGCAGACCUCCUUGUAUCUUCAAAUGGAGGAAAGAGGACAAGAGAGCUCCUGUGGUCCCUUUUAUCAAGAUGAAUGCACAAGGAAAAUGUUGUACAUUUGCACAUUGGAGUACACUUCAGCCAUAAAAAGAAUGAGAUGCUGUCAUUUGCAACAACAGAGUUGUGCAGUCAUCAGUUAUCUUCAUGGGACGAGUAUGUCCGGAGGGGAGGAAAAUCUGAUAAAAAAUAUUGAAAUUCAAUGAAGGCUUCCACUGCUUAACAAAUGUUACAUAGAAUUCUUCACCGAUGUGAGGAACAUCAGUUUGCAAAAGAAACUCUGCACUUUCAGGGAUAAAAAGACUGAGACUCCAAAUGGUGCUCCUAGUAUUGGUGAAGCUUAGGGAGAGAGCCCAUUGUGUUUCUAUCUAACUGCUCUCAGGAAAAGGUAGAAAAUGUCUCAGAUUCCACAAGAAAGAUAGAAUGUGUGAUAAGAUGACAAUCAGGCCACAACAGAAUAUCCUAGUAGGGUACAUAAAUUAGCAUCAACAUGGACCAAUUAGCAAGGAAGUGUCUUCAUAAUAUUCCCGUAAUUAGACUCUCAUUAGCUUGAUAUUUGAUGCUGGACUAACCCUAUUUGAAUGAUAUAAGCACUGGUACUUAGAAUUUUCAGAGACUGGUGCCCCUAAUGGAAAAAUGCAGGAUGAAAUGCUAGUGAAGAUUAACUGGGAGAAAAAUAGGUAAAUGUGAAAAAGAAAACGUGUGUCUGACUGUAUACAGAGUUCUAAUUGUAAAAAAUUAAUCGAAUGUAUAAAAUAUCGACAG
rnacentral:lncRNA from 1 species